UGGGGCGUGGCCAAGUGGUAAGGCAACGGGUUUUGGUCCCGCUAUGCGGAGGUUCGAAUCCUUCGGUCCCAG
rfam:Gossypium arboreum cultivar AKA8401 contig_20121_1, whole genome shotgun sequence.